GGACACGCUCGCUGUAAAUUGUAGCUACAAAGCGUAUUAUUUGAACAGCUUGGUGUUACUUCUUACAGUGAGUGUUUCC
rnacentral:pre_miRNA from 1 species